ACGGUGAACACGGAGCUUGCUCUGUGGGAUCAGUGGCGAACGGGUGAGUAACACGUGAGCAACCUGCCCCUGACUCUGGGAUAAGCGCUGGAAACGGCGUCUAAUACUGGAUAUGUGACGUGACCGCAUGGUCUGCGUCUGGAAAGAAUUUCGGUUGGGGAUGGGCUCGCGGCCUAUCAGCUUGUUGGUGAGGUAAUGGCUCACCAAGGCGUCGACGGGUAGCCGGCCUGAGAGGGUGACCGGCCACACUGGGACUGAGACACGGCCCAGACUCCUACGGGAGGCAGCAGUGGGGAAUAUUGCACAAUGGGCGCAAGCCUGAUGCAGCAACGCCGCGUGAGGGACGACGGCCUUCGGGUUGUAAACCUCUUUUAGCAGGGAAGAAGCGAAAGUGACGGUACCUGCAGAAAAAGCGCCGGCUAACUACGUGCCAGCAGCCGCGGUAAUACGUAGGGCGCAAGCGUUAUCCGGAAUUAUUGGGCGUAAAGAGCUCGUAGGCGGUUUGUCGCGUCUGCUGUGAAAUCCGGAGGCUCAACCUCCGGCCUGCAGUGGGUACGGGCAGACUAGAGUGCGGUAGGGGAGAUUGGAAUUCCUGGUGUAGCGGUGGAAUGCGCAGAUAUCAGGAGGAACACCGAUGGCGAAGGCAGAUCUCUGGGCCGUAACUGACGCUGAGGAGCGAAAGGGUGGGGAGCAAACAGGCUUAGAUACCCUGGUAGUCCACCCCGUAAACGUUGGGAACUAGUUGUGGGGUCCAUUCCACGGAUUCCGUGACGCAGCUAACGCAUUAAGUUCCCCGCCUGGGGAGUACGGCCGCAAGGCUAAAACUCAAAGGAAUUGACGGGGACCCGCACAAGCGGCGGAGCAUGCGGAUUAAUUCGAUGCAACGCGAAGAACCUUACCAAGGCUUGACAUAUACG
rnacentral:rRNA from 1 species